rnacentral:rRNA from 1 species
ACAUCGCCUCUUGCAUCAUAAGAAUAAGAGGUCCUGCCUGCCCAGUGACUAUUGUUUAACGGCCGCGGUAUUCUGACCGUGCAAAGGUAGCGCAAUCACUUGUCUCUUAAAUAGAGACCUGUAUGAAUGGCAAGACGAGGGCUAAACUGUCUCCUCCCCCAAGUCAAUGAAACUGAUCUCCCCGUGAAGAAGCGGGGAUAACCUCAUAAGACGAGAAGACCCUGUGGAGCUUCAGACACAAAAUAGCUUACAUUCCUUAACCUGAUUAAAGACCCAAACCUAGUAAUCGCUAUUUCACUGUCUUCGGUUGGGGCGACCACGGAGUAAAACAAAACCCCCGUGCGGAAUGGGGUACCCCUAACUAACCCCUAAAUCUAGGGCGAUGGCCCGAGCAAACAGAAUCUCUGACCUAUAUGAUCCGGCAAAGCCGAUCAACAGACCAAGUUACCCCAGGGAUAACAGCGCAAUCCCCUCCUAGAGUCCAUAUCGACGAGAGGGUUUACGACCUCGAUGUUGGAUCAGGACAUCCUACUGGUGCAGCAGCUAUUAAGGGUUCGU